CUCGAGCGCUGGCAUGCAAUUGGAAGCUUGUUCUUACUUGUGCUUACUUAACGCCACUUUACAACUUGGGCGCAGUUAACACACAUUUAGAGUUUU
rnacentral:lncRNA from 1 species